GAUGGAGGGGCAAAUUAGUAGAUAGGGUUGUGGUGUAGUACUUGAGUUAAGAGUGGUGUUUGAGGGAUGGAAAUAGGCAGUAGGUAAUUGUGAGUGACAGGAGGUGAGGUGAUAGAGUAUAAGGAGUAGAGAAGGUAAGAGUAUAGUUUGAGUUGUAAGAGACAUGUCACUUUAUGGGAUGUAGA